CUCCCUAACAGGAAGUUUCUCCUAGCAAGGUGUCCAUAUGCUCUAAUGAGCUCCAUGCUGGGGCAGGGAGGUUGUUGAGCUUAUUGCCAAGAUAAGGCCUUGGUCUGGGGGAAGAAUAGAGCAAAGAAGCAUUGUGGAGUGUAUGUGCUUGAUAAUCAACUGACACCUUAUUUCUGUGUGUGUGAAAGGAGCACUGAGGAGGCAGGAGAGAGAAGAAGAGGGGAUGUAGGAAAGGGUGAGUAGGAACGGGAAGUGGAUCUUUCCAGUGUCUCCUUAAACAUCUCUUGUAUAAGUUUCAGGUUAAUAUAAUCUCAGAUGCAUCCUUCCACCAUAGAAUUCCAAACUCCACUUGGAAAAUAAAAAUGAUUAUGAAGCAGGUGGUAAAUCUGACUGCCUAAUUCCCAUGGGGACACAAUUAACUGCUUUUGGAAAUCCAAACGCUCUGUCUAGUUCAGAAGGAUUCUCUCCACUAUGAAAGACCAUGUCAAACUCAACCCAUGACCAGUCUGCUGAAUGCAAGUUUUUCCGGCUAGGAAACAUCUUUUUAGACUUCAUGGUUGUGAACAUGACUUUUAAAUAAGCCCAUGCUUACAGUAUAAUAACUGAGUAAGGGGACUUGGUUUCACUAUUGUUGCAAUUGGUAGCAUAGAGGGUGACCUACUCUGGUUUAAAAAUCUGAAUGACCAGAAACAUUACCCUGGUAACAGGGAUGCUGUUUAGAAACUUGUACUAUAACAGCAUCCCCACUACUGUGAUAAAAGCCUUAAACUGUCUGGGAUUUUAAGCCAGUUACUUGGAUAUGGUUUGGUCACAUCUAUACUAACUAGGAACCUGGCUAGUGUAGUCGUAGCCCAAGUUCUAGAGCCAGAAACCCUUCUUCUGAUAUUACAAUGGUGUAACUCCACAAAGUUGAAUUGCUCCUGAUUUACACUAGUGAGAUCAGAACCAGGUCCACAAUAUGUCAAAACAAUCCUAUCAAGUCUCAGACAUACAUUUCUGCCACAUACAAAUAGUUCAUGAUGGCUUUGGCAUUCCUCUAAGUAGAGUUACUUAAAUUAAAGACUGAAAAAACAAAUACACUAUCUUGGAACUGAAUGGUAAUUAGUAAGCUACCACUGAAAACAGCCAUGAUAAAUAGCUAUUAAAAUGAGCAUUACAAAAAAAAUUCUUAGAAGCCUGCUCUGCAUCGUUACUAUAGGCUAUAAUUAAC